CAAGAUCUGUAUGUUGCACCGUGUGCCCAGCACCCAAAGUCAACUCUCCUGUCACCAUGUAUUGGGACCCCCUUCUCCCGAGACCCCCCUUCCUUCUGGCAA